GAUGAACGCUGGCGGCGUGCCUAAUACAUGCAAGUCGAGCGAACGGACGAGAAGCUUGCUUCUCUGAUGUUAGCGGCGGACGGGUGAGUAACACGUGGAUAACCUACCUAUAAGACUGGGAUAACUUCGGGAAACCGGAGCUAAUACCGGAUGAUAUUUUGAACCGCAUGGUUCAAAAGUGAAAGACGGUCUUGCUGUCACUUAUAGAUGGAUCCGCGCUGCAUUAGCUAGUUGGUAAGGUAACGGCUUACCAAGGCAACGAUGCAUAGCCGACCUGAGAGGGUGAUCGGCCACACUGGAACUGAGACACGGUCCAGACUCCUACGGGAGGCAGCAGUAGGGAAUCUUCCGCAAUGGGCGAAAGCCUGACGGAGCAACGCCGCGUGAGUGAUGAAGGUCUUCGGAUCGUAAAACUCUGUUAUUAGGGAGGAACAUAUGUGUAAGUAACUGUGCACAUCUUGACGGUACCUAAUCAGAAAGCCACGGCUAACUACGU
rnacentral:rRNA from 1 species